GUGCUCACUUUGGCAGCACAAAUAACUAAAAUUGGAAUGAUACAGAGAAGAUUAGCAUGGCCCCGGCACAAGGACGACCAGCAAAUUCAUAAAGCUUUCCAUAUUUUU
ensembl:snRNA U6 U6 spliceosomal RNA